GAUGAAGAACGUAGCGAAAUGCGAUAAGUAAUGUGAAUUGCAGAAUUCAGUGAAUCAUCGAAUCUUUGAACGCACAUUGCGCCCGCCAGUAUUCUGGCGGGCAUGCCUGUUCGAGCGUCAUUUCAACCCUCAAGACCCCUUCGGGGGACUUGGUGUUGGGGACCGGCACAGGGGCCUGCCUGCUUGUCUUGCAGCGCCCUCGCCGCCCCCGAAAUGAAUUGGCGGCCUCGUCGCGGCCUCCCCUGCGUAGUAGCACAACCUCGCAACGGGAACGUGACGGCGGCCACUGCCGUAAAACAACCCCAAUUUUAUUAGAGUUGACCUCGAAUCAGGUAGGAAUACCCGCUGAACUUAAGCAUAUCAAUAAGUGGAGGA
rnacentral:misc_RNA from 1 species